rnacentral:ribozyme from 1 species
AAAAUGUACUACGGAAAUUAAGAUGAUAAAGAAAAGAAGAACAAGAAAAAAAGAACUCCUCUCUCUCUCUUUUGAUUGUUUUUCUCUGUUCUCAUUGACAGAUCGGCUUCUUUUCCUCUCUUUU